rnacentral:rRNA from 1 species
GACGAACGCUGGCGGCGUGCUUAACACAUGCAAGUCGAACGGAAAGGCCCUGAUUUUGUGGUGUUCUCGAGUGGCGAACGGGUGCGUAACACGUGAGUAACCUGCCCUUGACUUUGGGAUAACUUCAGGAAACUGGGGCUACUACCGGAUAGGAGAUCCUGCUGCAUGGUGGGGGUUGGAAAUUUUAGGCGGGUGGGGAUGGAUGCGCGGCUUAACGGCUGGCUAGUGGGGGAGGGGCUUACCAAGGCUGUGGCUGGUAGCCGGCCCGAGAGGGUGGACGGCGUCAAUGCUACUGAGGGACGGAGCAGACGCGUACGGUGGGCAGCAGUGGGGAGUCUUGCCCAAUGGGAGCACGUCUGAUGCAGAGACGUUGCGUUCGUGAUGCCGGCUUGCGGGUUGUAAACCGCUUUCGCCUGUGACGAAGCGUGAGUGACGGUAAUCAGUAAAGAAGCACCGGCUAACUACGUG